GUGCUGAGCCCUGGCCUGGGAGGUGCCAGCAGGGAGAGGCCAAUUCCAGCAGAGGAGAGUCCAGGCAUGUGGGGAUAUGGUGGUGUUCUCCAUGGAGGGAGAAACAGGGCAUUAAUAAAACAGUGACAGGAAUAACCCUGUGAUUGAUGGGUAAAGGUCAUGGACUCUGGGAUACUGGCACGCACUGAUGGGAACCUGUUAGGGCUGGACCGGGACCAUCUCUGGCUUCCUGCUUCCCUCAGGUACCAGGAUGCUCUGCUAUGGUCUCUGGCAAAACUGAGCACUGGGGCUGGGCACAUAAUUUUGCCUGGGACAACUGCUGUAGGGGCUUCAGAAUGCCUGGUUUUCUAAAUUUUAUUGGUGUCAGGAGAGAGCUUUGAUAAGCUUUGAUGUGCUAUUAAUUAUUUGGGCUGUUAAAAAAGGGAGUGCACGAGAGGCUUGGGGUUGAAUGAUCUCAUUUCUGAGGUUCUGAGGAGGUACACACAUACACCCCAGUGGAAGCCAACUCAGGAUCCAGCUGCUCACAGAGUUCCUCCCUCUGCUCAGACACCAAGAGCGUUGCUGCCUGAGACUGAGCAGAGUAGGGAACUGGGGAGGAUCUCCACUGCUUUGAACUUAAAUGUAACUUGGGCAAUUUGGACUUUCUUUGGGCUUUAAUUCGCAAGGGCUAAAUACUUUGAUUUUGGACUUUAAUCUCUUUGGGAUUUUAAUCUCUAAAUUUUUCCCUAGGAAUUUGAUAAUGGGAAGGGUUUAUAUCCAAAUUUGGGGCAUCUUAUUUUCCCAUUUAUUAUUGAAGAAAUCUUUAUGCAUUUUUUAUUAGCUCUUUAUGCAUUUUAUUAUUGAAGUAUCUUCACUCUGCUAUUAAACCUCAUUACAGAACCUCUGAUGAGGUUAGUGGGCCAUGUGGCUGGACAUCAAUUUGGAUUGGAAAUAGAACAGGCUCUGAACUUGCAGUCUUAGACACAACAUAGCCUUGGACUGGAUUUUAUUAACACACUGUUCUGGCUCAUCUCAGAGGCUUAUGGAAGUCAAAUCAACAGUGUCUUAGGAUGGUCCCAGGAAGGCACAGGAAGGAACAGAGGUUGAUGCUGGGGGAGCGACCUCCUGCUCAGAUAGUUAGCUCAUCCCCUCCUGGAGCCAGAUGACCACACACCUGGUUGUCCAGGGGUUAAACAUUAAGCCCAGCUGGUUAAGAUAACAAAAAUCGGGGGAAUUUUUAUCCCCUUCCUUCUCUAGUUUUCAUAGAGGGACUUCCCUGACCCCACACACUUGGCCCCUCUCUGCUCCCUUUUUGACCCAGCUAGGAGUGAUUUGUCACUUGAGUUUAUGUAUGACUCACUCUCUUCCCCUCCCUCUCCCUCUCUUUUGGUAUAUGCCUGCCCUGGGAGAACACACAAGCUCUGCUGUCAGCCAUGUGGAACGAAGCAUGCCGGGCCUCGGACCUGCACACUGCCCCUCAUUAUGUUCAUGAUCGGCAGGAAAUGGAUAAAGAGUGGCCAGGAGGUGAAAAAGAAGAGAUGACCCCCUGAAAGGGACAUCCACAUUUAUUUGUGCACCUACCAGGAUACCUGCUUUGGGAGCCUUCUGCUGCUGCGUGAGAUCCCUGGCUACCCUGGAGAGACGUCAGACAACAGGACAAUAUGACAUGCCGCCGGAAGGAGCUGAAGACCAGUUGAUAUGAUGAAUAAAUGUGGAACACCAUCAAUCACAUGGUGGACUCGCUGGGUUCCAAGACAGAUAGGACACCAUGAACAGAUGCUAUGGCUGAGACUGCUGGCCUGGGCAGCACUGUACUUUUUGCUUUUCCUGGAAGGGGAAGAAGAGACCAAUCCACUUUCUGUAUGGUCCUGUCCUUCAUUCGAGUUUAUAAUGUUCUCCCCAGCUGAAGUCUACACAAUCUUUACCCAGACAUCAGAAACAGCUGUCUCAGGCAGAAGGCGCUUGACUCCAGGUGGGCACUCAGCAGCAAGGGCAGCAAAGUGCUGGGCACACAGAAGGACAAUGUGAUGAAGCGCCAUCACAUGGCUGGUAGCCUGUGGUGAGUCACCGGACUUCUCGACUCCCACCUCACUAGGGUGGAAGGAACAGUAACCACAAGGCUCCGCAACUCGGGCUGCGCCCGCAUGAUUGGAAACAAUCUGCGAACUCCUGUCUUCACCCAAACUGAUUGCAGUGGUUCAAGCUGUCAGCCCCAUGUAUAUCCAGGAGCAUCUGAAUUUACAAGGCACACACGGCUUAGUUU